GACGUAGGGCGCGAGCGUUGUCCGGAUUUAUUGGGCGUAAAGAGCUCGUAGGCGGUUUGUCGCGUCUGCCGUGAAAGUCCGGGGGCUCAACUCCGGAUCUGCGGUGGGUACGGGCAGACUAGAGUGAUGUAGGGGAGACUGGAAUUCCUGGUGUAGCGGUGAAAUGCGCAGAUAUCAGGAGGAACACCGAUGGCGAAGGCAGGUCUCUGGGCAUUAACUGACGCUGAGGAGCGAAAGCAUGGGGAGCGAACAGG
rnacentral:rRNA from 1 species